UGAAAAUCUAAAAACAAGCAAAAAAACAACAACUGACACUGGGCACUAGGUUAAUAGGUUUAACCCAAAAAAGAUAUAUAAUUGCAUAUAAACAUCCAAGAUUGAUACUAUAGUAGUAUGGAACAAUCAAAAAUUAUAUAUACGCCGGAUACGUAUCAGGCACCUUCAGCUCCGCCUCUAGCUCGGGCUUGGGGAUGCGGAGGUUGCCUUGCCGCGCGGAUAGUGGUGUCAAAACAGCCCCGGGGGCUUGCACGCGGCGCGAGCCGACCACCUGCUCGUAGGAGUGGUCGUCCCACCGGGCGUGCCGUGCAACGACUUUCUUUUACGCCGGUGGGAACACACCCUCAAACCGCCAAAGACGGUUCAGACUGUCCUGCUCGAGGAUCAUCGGCCAGAGCAUGUUGUUGACGCUGUAGAAAGGGUCGUCCCUCUCCUCCGGCAAUAGCCUCACCUAGAACUCCCUCGUCCAAGCACGUAUCCGGUCGAAGUCGGCCUCGGGGACCGACGACACCGAAAUCCCCUCGAUGCUAAGCUUCCACCCCGACGACAGUCGGAUGUCCGGCGGCGUGACGCCGCCCAAACGGUCGAGCUCGUUCGCCUGCUAGAUGAUGAGGCUACUCCGCCCUCCUCCCCACAUGGCCGACGCGACGACGUGGGCAGCGACUGUGUUUUAGGCUAGGGUUACUGGCGGUGGCGGCAGCGGCGGCGGCCUUCUUCUGGGCUCGGUGGCAAUGGUGCAGUGCAUGGGGGUGUGUGUG
rnacentral:rRNA from 1 species